rnacentral:rRNA from 1 species
AGGACGAACGCUGGCGGCGUGCUUAACACAUGCAAGUCGAGCGGAAAGGCCCUUCGGGGUACUCGAGCGGCGAACGGGUGAGUAACACGUGAGCAACCUGCCCCUGGCUCUGGGAUAGCCUCCGGAAACGGGGAUUAAUACCGGAUAUUCACUGCUUCCUGCAUGGGGGGUGGUGGAAAGUUUUUCGGCUAGGGCGGGGCUCGCGGCCUAUCAGCUUGUUGGGGGGGUGACGGCCCACCAAGGCGACGACGGGUAGCCGGCCUGAGAGGGCGACCGGCCACACUGGGACUGAGACACGGCCCAGACUCCUACGGGAGGCAGCAGUGGGGAAUAUUGCGCAAUGGGCGGAAGCCUGACGCAGCGACGCCGCGUGCGGGAUGAAGGCCUUCGGGUUGUAAACCGCUUUCACCAGGGACGAAGCGAGAGUGACGGUACCUGGGGAAGAAGCGCCGGCUAACUACGCGCCAGCAGCCGC